rnacentral:lncRNA from 1 species
CGUCAUCAUUAAAGAUUGAGAGAAUUUAUGAUUUAUUGUAGUAUAUUUUGAAAAAAAUUAUAUUGAUAAAUAUAUCUUAAUAUUAUUAAUUUAGUUAUAUUUAAAAAAAUUAUUUAUGCUUGAUCUUAUUGAAGAUUUGAUAACUUACUGUGUCUGUAAAGCACAUAAUCUCUCUUCUAUUCUUUUACAUACAGAAAAAUAUAUAA